GCCCGAGUAGCUCAGGGGUAGAGCGCCUCCUUGGUAAGGAGGAGGUCAUGGGUUCAAAUCCCAUCUCGGGCU
rnacentral:tRNA from 1 species